AAUGAAUUGCCUGAAAAAGGGUUACCUUGAUAGGGUAAAUAAUGUAAAAUUUAAAUUUACAUUCAUUA
rnacentral:tRNA from 1 species